CACAUGCAGUCGAGGGGCAGCGGGGAGUAGCAAUACUUCGCCGGCGACCGGCGCACGGGUGAGUAACACGUGUGCAACCAACCCCGUACCGGGAGAUAACCCGCGGAAACGUGGACUAACAUCCCAUAAGACUCUAGAGCCGCAUGGCUUUGGAUUUAAAAUUCCGGUGGUACGGGACGGGCACGCGCGACAUUAGGUAGUUGGCGGGGUAACGGCCCACCAAGCCGACGAUGUCUAGGGGUUCUGAGAGGAAGGUCCCCCACACUGGAACUGAGACACGGUCCAGACUCCUACGGGAGGCAGCAGUGAGGAAUAUUGGUCAAUGGGCGCGAGCCUGAACCAGCCAAGUCGCGUGAGGGAAGAAUGGUCCAUGGCCUGUAAACCUCUUUUGUCAAGGAAGAAUAAAUUGCACGUGUGCGAUCCUGCCAGUACUUGACGAAUAAGCAUCGGCUAACUCCGUGCCAGCAGCCGCGGUAAUACGGGGGAUGCGAGCGUUAUCCGGAUUUAUUGGGUUUAAAGGGCGCGUAGGCGGGACGCCAAGUCAGCGGUAAAAGACUGCAGCUAAACUGUAGCACGCCGUUGAAACUGGCGCCCUCGAGACGAGACGAGGGAGGCGGAACAAGUGAAGUAGCGGUGAAAUGCUUAGAUAUCACUUGGAACCCCGAUAGCGAAGGCAGCUUCCCAGGCUCGAUCUGACGCUGAUGCGCGAGAGCGUGGGUAGCGAACAGGAUUAGAUACCCUGGUAGUCCACGCCGUAAACGAUGCUCACUGGAUCUUGGCGAUACACUGCCAGGGUUCAAGCGAAAGUAUUAAGUGAGCCACCUGGGGAGUACGUCGGCAACGAUGAAACUCAAAGGAAUUGACGGGGGCCCGCACAAGCGGAGGAACAUGUGGUUUAAUUCGAUGAUACGCGAGGAACCUUACCCGGUUUAAAUG
rnacentral:rRNA from 1 species